AUUCCAGCUCCAAUAGCGUAUAUUAAAGUUGUUGCAGUUAAAAAGCUCGUAGUUGGAUUUCAGUCUUAAUUCGUCUGGCCCGCUCCCUUGAGGAGCCGAGUGCCGGUUGCGAAUUGGACUUCCUUCUAGCAUGAAUCUCCUACCGUUAUGCGGCCGGGAAGGACAUCUGGAUCAUUUACUUUGAAGAAAUUAGAGUGUUCAAAGCAAGCUUACGCUGUGAAUAUAUUAGCAUGGAAUAAUAACAUAGGACUCGGGUUCUAUUUUGUUGGUUUCUAGGACUCAAGUAAUGAUUGAUAGGGUCAGUUGGGGGUGCUGCUAUUAUAUGGCCAGAGGUGAAAUUCACGGAUUCAUAUAAGAGCAACUUAUGCGAAAGCAUUCACCAAGGAUGUCUUCAUCA
rnacentral:rRNA from 1 species